rnacentral:rRNA from 1 species
UGGGUUUGAUCAUGGCUCAGAUUGAACGCUGGCGGCAUGCUUUACACAUGCAAGUCGAACGGCAGCGCGGGGCAACCUGGCGGCGAGUGGCGAACGGGUGAGUAAUAUAUCGGAACGUACCCAGGAGUGGGGGAUAACGUAGCGAAAGUUACGCUAAUACCGCAUACGACCUAAGGGUGAAAGUGGGGGAUCGCAAGACCUCAUGCUCAUGGAGCGGCCGAUAUCUGAUUAGCUAGUUGGUGGGGUAAAGGCUCACCAAGGCAACGAUCAGUAGCUGGUCUGAGAGGACGACCAGCCACACUGGAACUGAGACACGGUCCAGACUCCUACGGGAGGCAGCAGUGGGGAAUUUUGGACAAUGGGGGCAACCCUGAUCCAGCAAUGCCGCGUGAGUGAAGAAGGCCUUCGGGUUGUAAAGCUCUUUUGUCAGGGAAGAAACGACCCCCUCUAAUACAGGGGGUUAAUGACGGUACCUGAAGAAUAAGCACCGGCUAACUACGUGCCAGCAGCCGCGGUAAUACGUAGGGUGCAAGCGUUAAUCGGAAUUACUGGGCGUAAAGCGUGCGCAGGCGGUUUUGUAAGACUGUCGUGAAAUCCCCGGGCUUAACCUGGGAAUGGCGAUGGUGACUGCAAGGCUAGAGUUUGGCAGAGGGGGGUAGAAUUCCACGUGUAGCAGUGAAAUGCGUAGAGAUGUGGAGGAACACCGAUGGCGAAGGCAGCCCCCUGGGUCAAAACUGACGCUCAUGCACGAAAGCGUGGGGAGCAAACAGGAUUAGAUACCCUGGUAGUCCACGCCCUAAACGAUGUCUACUAGUUGUCGGGUCUUAAUUGACUUGGUAACGCAGCUAACGCGUGAAGUAGACCGCCUGGGGAGUACGGUCGCAAGAUUAAAACUCAAAGGAAUUGACGGGGACCCGCACAAGCGGUGGAUGAUGUGGAUUAAUUCGAUGCAACGCUAAAAWCCUUACCUACCCUUGACAUGGAAGGAAUCCCUGAGAGAUUGGGGAGUGCCCGAAAGGGAACCUUUACACAGGUGCUGCAUGGCUGUCGUCAGCUCGUGUCGUGAGAUGUUGGGUUAAGUCCCGCAACGAGCGCAACCCUUGUCAUUAGUUGCUACGAAAGGGCACUCUAAUGAGACUGCCGGUGACAAACCGGAGGAAGGUGGGGAUGACGUCAAGUCCUCAUGGCCCUUAUGGGUAGGGCUUCACACGUCAUACAAUGGUACAUACAGAGGGCCGCCAACCCGCGAGGGGGAGCUAAUCCCAGAAAGUGUAUCGUAGUCCGGAUUGUAGUCUGCAACUCGACUACAUGAAGUUGGAAUCGCUAGUAAUCGCGGGAUCAGCAUGUCGCGGUGAAUACGUUCCCGGGUCUUGUACACACCGCCCGUCACACCAUGGGAGCGGGUUUUACCAGAAGUAGGUAGCUUAACCGCAAGGAGGGCGCUUACCACGGUAGGAUUCGUGACUGGGGUGAAGUCGUAACAAGGUAUCCA